rnacentral:rRNA from 1 species
GAUGAACGCUGGCGGCGUGCCUAAUACAUGCAAGUCGAGCGAACAGACGAGGAGCUUGCUCCGCUAACGUUAGCGGCGGACGGGUGAGUAACACGUGGAUAACCUACCUAUAAGACUGGGAUAACUUCGGGAAACCGGAGCUAAUACCGGAUAAGAUAUUGAACCGCAUGGUUCAAUAGUGAAAGACGGUUUUGCUGUCACUUAUAGAUGGAUCCGCGCCGCAUUAGCUAGUUGGUAAGGUAACAGCUUACCAAGGCAACGAUGCGUAGCCGACCUGAGAGGGUGAUCGGCCACACUGGAACUGAGACACGGUCCAGACUCCUACGGGAGGCAGCAGUAGGGAAUCUUCCGCAAUGGGCGAAAGCCUGACGGAGCAACGCCGCGUGAGUGAUGAAGGUCUUCGGAUCGUAAAACUCUGUUAUUAGGGAAGAACAAAUGUGUAAGUAACUAUGCACGUCUUGACGGUACCUAAUCAGAAAGCCACGGCUAACUACGUG